UAAUAGCGUAUAUUAAAGUUGUUGCAGUUAAAAAGCUCGUAGUCGGAUGUCGGGCUCGGGCAGGCUGUCGGCUUCGGUCGGACGGCAGGCUCGGGUCUUUCUGCCUGAGGAUCCCGUUGCACUUAAUUGUGGGGCGUGGGGACGCAGGCCGUUUACUUUGAAAAAAUUAGAGUGUUCAAAGCAGGCUGACCGCUUGAAUACAUGAGCAUGGAAUAAUGGAAUAGGACUUUGGUUCUAUUUUGUUGGUUUCUUGAACCGAAGUAAUGAUUAAGAGGGACAGUUGGGGGCAUUCGUAUUUCGUUGUCAGAGGUGAAAUUCUUGGAUUUACGAAAGACGAACAACUGCGAAAGCAUUUGCCAAGAAUGUUUUCAUUAAUCAAGAACGAAAGUUAGAGGCUCGAAGAUGAUUAGAUACCA
rnacentral:rRNA from 1 species